UUUGAGUUUAGAUCAUCGACGGUAUGCUGUGGAAUUCUUUAUAUAAGCGAGGUUUGAUUUUCGUUAGUAAAAAGGCCUUGCCGGAUAACUGCCAUUAUGCCUGCCCCGUCCCAGUGCAAAAUAGCUUAAAAGCAGAGUGCCUGGUUACAGCUGUUUCCAAGUGCAGUACUCGGCGGGAGUGAUCACCUACCCUGCGGGUGUAAGAUGGAUGCCUGAAGUAUAGACUGCUGCUAGCUGAAUACCAUCUGGGAACACAAAGGUGACCUAAAGGAUGUCCUUGGUGAGGAUUUUGAAAAUUUGAUCUUCACAAGAGUUGCUUGGAUCAUUUAAAAUUUCGAGGAGUCUGAGGAGUACUGCCAUAAUUGCCUGCUGGAGUCCGUAAAUACACAUUUAAGACAGUGAGGACAUGAAUAAAUAUAUUAAUACACUUUGA